rnacentral:rRNA from 1 species
GACGAACGCUGGCGGCGUGCCUAAUACAUGCAAGUAGAACGCUGAAGGAGGAGCUUGCUUCUCUGGAUGAGUUGCGAACGGGUGAGUAACGCGUAGGUAACCUGCCUGGUAGCGGGGGAUAACUAUUGGAAACGAUAGCUAAUACCGCAUAAGAGUAGAUGUUGCAUGACAUUUGCUUAAAAGGUGCAAUUGCAUCACUACCAGAUGGACCUGCGUUGUAUUAGCUAGUUGGUGAGGUAACGGCUCACCAAGGCAACGAUACAUAGCCGACCUGAGAGGGUGAUCGGCCACACUGGGACUGAGACACGGGCCCAGACUCCUACGGGAGGCAGCAGUAGGGAAUCUUCCGGGCAAAUGGGACGGAAAGUUCUGACCGAAGCAAACCGCCCGCGUGAAGUGAAAGAAAGG